rnacentral:rRNA from 1 species
ACGUCCUACGGGUAGGCAGCAGUCGGGGAAUAUUUGGACAAUGGGGGAAACCCUGAUCCAGCCAUGCCGCGUGUGUGAAGAAGGCCUUCGGGUUGUAAAGCACUUUCAGUGGGGAGGAAAGGUUGAUGGUUAAUACCUAUCAGCUGUGACCGUUACCCACAGAAGAAGCACCGGCUAACUCCGUGCCAGCAGCCGCGGUAAUACGGAGGGUGCAAGCGUUAAUCGGAAUUACUGGGCGUAAAGCGUGCGCAGGCGGUCUGUUAAGCGAGAUGUGAAAGCCCCCGGGCUCAACCUGGGAACUGCAUUUCGAACUGGCAGACUAGAGUCUUGUAGAGGGGGUAGAAUUCCAGGUGUAGCGGUGAAAUGCGUAAGAGAUCUGGAGG